GCGCACCAGGCGCGAAUACUUUACAAUGCGGGAAACCGUGAUAAGGGAACCUCGAGUGCUGGCGCAUAGCGUCGGCUGUCCAGAUGCCUAAAAGCAUCUGAUAGCAAGGGCCGGGCAAGACCGGUGCCAGCCGCCGCGGUAACACCGGCGGCUCGAGUGGUGGCCACGUUUAUUGGGUCUAAAGCGUCCGUAGCCGGCUCGGCAAGUCCCCUGGGAAAUCUGGCGGCUCAACCGUCAGGCGUCCAGAGGAUACUGCUGGGGCUUGGGGACCGGGAGAGGUGAGAGGUACCUCGAGGGGGUAGGGGUGAAAUCUUGUGAU
rnacentral:rRNA from 1 species